AACGAACGCUGGCGGCAUGCCUAACACAUGCAAGUCGAACGAGACCUUCGGGUCUAGUGGCGCACGGGUGCGUAACGCGUGGGAACCUGCCUUUAGGUUCGGAAUAACUCCCCGAAAGGGGUGCUAAUACCGGAUAAUGUCUUCGGACCAAAGAUUUAUCGCCUUUGGAUGGGCCCGCGUUGGAUUAGCUAGUUGGUAGGGUAAAAGCCUACCAUGGCGACGAUCCAUAGCUGGUCUGAGAGGAUGAUCAGCCACACUGGGACUGAGACACGGCACAGACUCCUACGGGAGGCAGCAGUGGGGAAUAUUGGACAAUGGGCGAAAGCCUGAUCCAGCAAUGCCGCGUGAGUGAUGAAGGCCUUAGGGUUGUAAAGCUCUUUUACCCGGGAUGAUAAUGACAGUACCGGGAGAAUAAGCGCCGGCUAACUCCGUG
rnacentral:rRNA from 1 species